rnacentral:rRNA from 1 species
GACGAACGCUGGCGGCGUGCUUAACACAUGCAAGUCGAACGGAAAGGCCCCUUUGGGGGUACUCGAGUGGCGCACGGGUGAGUAACACGUGAGUAACCUGCCCUUGACUUCGGGAUAACUUCAGGAAACUGGGGCUAAUACCGGAUAGGAAUCCUUGCUGCAUGGUGGGGGUUGGAAAGCUUCGGCGGUUUUGGAUGGACUCACGGCUUAUCAGCUUGUUGGUGGGGUAGUGGCUUACCAAGGCUUUGACGGGUAGCCGGCCUGAGAGGGCGACCGGCCACAUUGGGACUGAGAUACGGCCCAGACUCCUACGGGAGGCAGCGGUGGGGAAUAUUGCACAAUGGGCGGAAGCCUGAUGCAGCAACGCCGCGUGCGGGAUGACGGCCUUCGGGUUGUAAACCGCUUUCAGCAGGGGCGAAGCUUGUGGUGACGGUACCUGCAGAAGAAGCACCGGCUAACUACGUG